rnacentral:rRNA from 1 species
GNNNGNCGAGUGCUACCAUGCAGUCGAACGAUGAAGCCCAGCUUGCUGGGUGGAUUAGUGGCGAACGGGUGAGUAACACGUGAGCAACCUGCCCCUGACUCUGGGAUAAGCGCUGGAAACGGCGUCUAAUACUGGAUAUGUCCCGUCACCGCAUGGUGUGCGGGUGGAAAGAUUUUUCGGUUGGGGAUGGGCUCGCGGCCUAUCAGCUUGUUGGUGAGGUAAUGGCUCACCAAGGCGUCGACGGGUAGCCGGCCUGAGAGGGUGACCGGCCACACUGGGACUGAGACACGGCCCAGACUCCUACGGGAGGCAGCAGUGGGGAAUAUUGCACAAUGGGCGAAAGCCUGAUGCAGCAACGCCGCGUGAGGGAUGACGGCCUUCGGGUUGUAAACCUCUUUUAGCAGGGAAGAAGCGAAAGUGACGGUACCUGCAGAAAAAGCACCGGCUAACUACGUGCCAGCAGCCGCGGUAAUACGUAGGGUGCAAGCGUUAUCCGGAAUUAUUGGGCGUAAAGAGCUCGUAGGCGGUCUGUCGCGUCUGCUGUGAAAUCCCGAGGCUCAACCUCGGGCUUGCAGUGGGUACGGGCAGACUAGAGUGCGGUAGGGGAGAUUGGAAUUCCUGGUGUAGCGGUGGAAUGCGCAGAUAUCAGGAGGAACACCGAUGGCGAAGGCAGAUCUCUGGGCCGUAACUGACGCUGAGGAGCGAAAGGGUGGGGAGCAAACAGGCUUAGAUACCCUGGUAGUCCACCCCGUAAACGUUGGGAACUAGUUGUGGGGUCCUUUCCACGGAUUCCGUGACGCAGCUAACGCAUUAAGUUCCCCGCCUGGGGGAGUACGGCCGCAAGGCUAAAACUCAAAGGAAUUGACGGGGACCCGCACAAAGCGGCGGAGCAUGCGGAUUAAUUCGAUGCAACGCGAAGAACCUUACCAAGGCUUGACAUACACGAGAACGGGCCAGAAAUGGUCAACUCUUUGGACACUCGUGAACAGGUGGUGCAUGGCUGUCGUCCAGCUCGUGUCGUGAGAUGUUGGGUUAAGUCCCGCAACGAGCGCAACCCUCGUUCUAUGUUUGCCAGCACGUAAUGGGUGGGAACUCAUGGGAUACUGCCCGGGUCAACUCGGNAGAGGUGGGAUGACGUCAAUUCAUCAUGCCCCUAUGUCUUGNNCCUNACGCAUGCUACAAUGGNNGANCAUGNNUGCCGAUACCGGUAAAGUGGAGAGCGGAAUUCACAAAAGGCUCCGGUUCACUACNAUNUCGG